rnacentral:rRNA from 1 species
UACGAGGGGAGCAAGCGUUGUUCGGAUUUACUGGGCGUAAAGGGCGCGUAGGCGGCCACGACAAGUCACUUGUGAAAUCUCCGGGCUUAACCCGGAAAGGUCAAGUGAUACUGUCGGGCUAGAGUGCAGAAGGGGCAACUGGAAUUCUCGGUGUAGCGGUGAAAUGCGUAGAUAUCGAGAGGAACACCUGCGGCGAAGGCGGGUUGCUGGGCUGACACUGACGCUGAGGCGCGAAAGCCAGGGGAGCGAAUGGG